GUGAGGUUUCUGUUGUUGUCCUGUCUCUCCUGGCGUCCUGCUUCCCUUCAUCCACUCUCUUUUUUUUCUGGUUUUUCCCUUCUCCUCCUUCCGCUCACGCUCUCGGUGGAGUUGGGACUCUUCCUCGGCAGAGUCCUGUCAGAUUUGCAGCGUCUGUCCAUUUUUUGGGGGGGGAGAUCCAACAGAAGCCAGAAAACCAUGCUGAGAGUUUUGGCGUUGGCGUCAGUGGUCCUCCUGGGAAUAGCACCCCAGGCAUCCCAGGCUAUUACUGUUUACACCAGCUGGGAGCGCCACGCCCUGGUGGGCUCAGACAUCAGACUGUCCUGCACCUUCUUCUCCUGGCGCUCCAUUUCCGAGGAUGUUUCCUUCACCUGGAGAUACAGACCAGACGGCUCCAAGGACAGCAUCUCUAUCGCCCACUUCGCCGGUGGUGAGGCCUACACUGACAACAAAGGCGUGUUCAAGGACAGGGUGGAGUUUGUGGGGAACCCGAAACGUCGUGAUGGCUCCAUCCUGAUCAAAAACUUGGAUUUCAGCGACAACGGCACCUUCACCUGCGACGCCAAGAACCCCCCUGACAUCGUGGGGCGCCCCUCCAGCGUCCGGCUGCUGGUCUUUGAGAACUUGCCCAUCCAAGCGGGUGUGAUCACGGGGGCCAUCAUCGGUGUGGUGCUGGGCCUGCUGGUGCUGAUUGUGGUCAUCUACUAUCUAAUGAGGUUCCUGGUGGCGCGUCGCGUCUUCAGCCUUAGCGUCAGCAAACAUGGCAAGAAAAAGAAAGAGGGAUCACAGCAGAGACAGGGCCCCGCGCCUCCCGCUGACCCCUCCAAGGUGAAGGCGGCCGCCUCGGAAAAGAAGAAGCAGGAGUCUCGCAAGGAUAAGAAAUAGGAUACGGGGCAGGGCUGGGGCGGGCUGCUCCAGCCCCUGCGCCAGGUACUGGCGGCGAAGAUAAAGGUCUGACUUCUCCAUGACUGCCUCCACUCCUCUAGUCUGCUCCCUCUUUUUCUGCCCAGCCUGAUGCAACCCCCAUUUUUUUCCAUUAUCUGUACUCUCUCAAGACAGCACUGGCUGUAAGAAUAGCCCCCCGUAUUUCACUGUGCAACAGUGUCAAAUAAUUUUUACAACGCCUCAUCGAAGACGGCGUUUGUGAUCACUGGGCUAACUGUAGAAGUCUUUAAGGCCUAGCUAUGCACAUAACUCGACAGACCACCCCUCAUGUGUUUAAAAUCUUCCCCCUUCACUUUAAUGUUUACGACUCAAUCACGUCCACCGAGCGGAGCUGCCAGUGCACACUGGACUUCACAUAGAGGAAAAACAGAGCGUGAUAGCCAGAGAGAAAUAUGAUUCCUGCUCUCAGCCGACGCAGAUAGAAGUUCAAGCCCCGGAGCUCGGAGGUGAUUCAAUCCUCUCACAUUUGAGCUAAUGGAGGUUGUCGCUGUGUCCCUGCCCAGACUGAAGGGGGGCUAUUUCUGGCCUCUAUAAGAGAGCACAGGCUUACAGUAACAGCUGCACAUUUUUCAACCAACAAGGGGGGGGUUGGAGGUGGAGGUGAUUUUUAUUUUUUUUCCCUUCCCGUUUGUGCCUGAGAGAAUGUCCGCGGCCGGCUCAGCGGCCGGUGACUGACGAACUGGAAUGACGUCACGGCCUCCAGCGGCCGGCGGAUGGAUGCUCUCAGGAGUCUUACCGGGAAGAGGUGCAGCUCCCGAGUUAUUUUAGGUCCAGUUAAUCCACUCGCACGUUUCUCCUAAUUAUUUUCGUGUGUGCUGGUAACAUGAUAUCUCUCACCGCAUCUCCCCCCUGCCUCCUCCGCCGUCUCCACUUCAUCUCUGCCCCCAUCUUGGGAAUCAUCUUCCCUAGUUUCGCUGCCUCUGUCCUCUAUGUCUUUGGCUUCCCUUUAUCUCUUCCCUGUCCUGCUGUCUACUGAGUCCGCGCCGCAUUAUUCCCCCACUGAAAAGGUCUAUACACAAUCCAAUCUACUCUUUAAGCCGCUCCUUAUCUGACUGGCAGGCCAACAGCUCAAUGCUUCACUCUCAUCCGUCCUUCCUCCUCUUCUGCGUCUUCGUUACUCUCUUUUCCAAACUCGGAGGCAGACGUUUCUUUCGCGCCGUCCUCCAUCUUUGCCAGUGAUUGACGAAAAACGCCCUCCUGCUUUGCCCUUCAAACACACCAGAGGCAAGACUUUCCCCUAAGUCCGGGUCUCAGUUAAACACCUGCAUUCUGUACCUAUUGUCAUUUAGUACCUGCAAACAAAGAAUUUCAAGGGUUAGCAUUAAUUCAAAAUACUGAAUUUUAUAUAUAAUGUACUUUAUCAUUUGCAGAUGACUUCAUAUUUCAACCUUUAUCAAUGUACUGCAGACUUUUAUGAAAUAUCUCAGAUUAUGAACCCUGAUUGAACUAAGAUUACUCUCCCUGACAUUUUGAUGUUGUAUAUUAUUUAUUGGAUUCAUAAAAUCUUAUAGUAAAAUCAGAGUAGGUGAAAUAGACUUAAAGUUUAUCACAAUUUUUUGUGGUAAUAUAACAAUAAAAGUGACAAUAAGAACUAUUUAUUGAUUAAUUUUACAGUAUGUAUUACAUUUAUUGCAUUGUUAACAAUAAGAUAAAUACACACCCCUUUUUUUUAGGGACUUGAGUGUCCUAUUUGUAAUAUGCUUCAUUAGGUCACCAGUCACAUAAAGAAGUGUAAUUCAUGUCAAUAAACUUCAAAUCGUCGCAGCAUAUAAUCAUAUUUUCAAAUUUAUUGAUAUGUAUUCAGGCUUUCGGUGAAUAAACUGGGGAAAAAUAUUAAAGCUAACAAUCCUGACAAAACAAACCAUUUUAAAGUUUCAAACAUCAUUAACUGGAAUUUAUCAUGGUGAUGAAUCCAAAUUAUUAUCAUAAUAAAAAAAUGGAUCCCGAUAAAUGAUAAAUAAUACAGUAAAUGCCCACCCUGACAGUAUCAAACUUCAAAUUAUCAGUUGUCAAAGUAGGUGCGAAACGUCCUCGUGAUAAUUUGCCUGUAUGAAACGUCCUUUACCAGAUGGGUCCUUUUGGGUCCAUCUGGUACGAAACGACCCAAACUGCAAAGUUACAAAAUGGCAAAGGUACUAAAUGAUCAUCAACCACUUCCCCUUUGUCCCUGACCCUGAUUUGCCCUCCUUUUUUGCUGGUUUGAAAGCCAAACACAUUCCAACGCCCCCUACUGGCUGAGGAACACUCCUGCACUCAAGACGUCAAGCAGAAACUUAUCCUUCAAGCAAGCUCUCUUCUGGUCACAAAUGUCCGUGUAUGUGUUUCAUGUUACAGAGUGUUUAAAAAAUAGAUUUGUUAUAAUUCCAAACAAUGGCAGUGAGUGAAGCAAAUAAUGUUUUCUGGGGCAGUUUUUACAUGUGCACACAUAUGGAGAACAUGUUUACCAAAGCAGGAAAGAAAUGUAAUAGUACUCUAUAGAAUAUGCCGUUGUAUUUCUGGCCUUGUGUGUUAUGGCAGGUACUGUGUGGCUGUCUCUUGGGUGAAUUUUAUUCGGAGAUGGAAGAAAAUUGAGGCCGUGGUGCAGAGAGUGAGAGCGGAUAGCCUCAGAUUCAUCAUUCCAUGGCUGGGGAGGAAAGAAAAACCACAGAGGAAGGUGCUUGCUGUGGAAGCAAAGCUUUGCAGGAAGAGACUUAUCUGGCCUGUUAAGCCCUGCCAAAAAAUCUGUAUGUAUCACUACAGAUAGUCUGCUCUUCCCCCUAGAGCUUUUCUUUUAAAGGUGCUCCAUCCCAACCCUGAGCCAAAGAUGGAUCGUAAUCUGCGAGCUUGAUAUGCAGGACAGAUAGUGCAGACUUGAACUUUUCCCUGAAAAUUCAUAACAGAAAUAGGUGGUGUUGAAAUCCACACAUUCAUCUCUUUCACUCGUCGCUGUUUCUUAUCCAGUCAAAUGGAUUCGUUAGAAUGUUGUCUUGUUUUAAAGCAAAGCCACACAGAUGCCUGACAUAACAUGAAUAGUAUUUACAUGCCUUGUAAAAUUAUUUAUAUGCAAUAUAAACUGUUUUAGCUAUAGUCUCUGAUUAACAUUUUGAUUUGAAACGACUGGAGCUUCUUAGAUUUUUUUCAAUGCUCAUAAUAAUUUAAGGACGCUAACAUCUUUUUGACUCUGUAUGUUGUAAAGAGAACACAAGAAUAAAAGCCAUAAGCACAGCUGAUGAGCAGAAAACCCAGCUGAAAAUAUC